ensembl:lncRNA
CAUUAUAGCAACAGAAAACCAAAAUUAAGCAAAAAUCACAGUGCCAGAUGUGGGAUGUCAUCCUGAACGUUGCUGACCACCGAGAUCCCAAAAGUCCUCACAACUUUACACGUUGUUGACAUUGUUCUUCGUAGUCCUCCAGAACUUGAUGCCCUCCUCAAAAUGCUGGCUGAAUUAAGUACCUGCCACUGAAUGGGACACAAGUUCAAACCAGUGGAAGUGGGAAAAUGCAACUAAAAGCAAACGAAGUAACAAACAGCAAAACUUCUUCCCUCUGCAUCUGGGAUUCCAUUUUCUGGUUUUGGAGAGUCUACUACACUGAACAAAAUUUCUGUGUCCUGCUCCUGUCCCUGUCUUGAUGAAUACACAUGUAUGCAGUUGCCUGGCCAGAAAAGUCCUGGGAUGAUUUCAAUACUGAAAAUUUUCAUCAAAUGAGCCAGAAAUUCUUCCUGACUUCAACACAACAUGGCCAUUGGGAACAGAAUAAACCACAAAUAAGGAAAUGGAGAAAGUGGUUGACAC